ACAUGGGAAAGGAGGUGGUCCUGAAGUGAUUUCUCUUCGGACGCGUGAGGUGACUGUCCGCUAGUCGCCCGAGUACUCGGACGGAUUGCUUCGAUCCACCCGGUGCCCGCUGGUCCUCGAGGACCGCCGGGCGGCGAGCGAGAUCCAGGCAGCCACCGCAGCCCGUGGGAGCCGCGCACUCGUCCAGCGCGGCAGGGCCCCGUCAAGGGGUUCCGGCCCACGGGCUGUUCCCU
rnacentral:sRNA from 1 species